rnacentral:rRNA from 1 species
AAGUCGUAACAAGGUUUCCGUAGGUGAACCUGCGGAAAGAUCAUUA